rnacentral:lncRNA from 1 species
CUUUUUCAAAAAAAAAAAACGAAAUUUAGAUUCGCCUCGAUUUGUUUCCCCUCUCCUCUCUGUCUGCCGCCGUCGUUGCUGGCCUCCUCCGGCAACUGCGCACGGAAUCCGCCCCACGUCCGUGAUCUCACCCGCGCCGAAUCCCAUACCAGCAUGUCGGCGGUCUGCAUGGGGCGUGGCGGGGGCGGCGAGGGAGAAGGUGGUGCUCUCACGGAGGAUGAGGGGCGGCACAAAUUCGGGCUAUCUUCUCGAUUUCAGUCCGCGCUUGGGGCUCGGUGCUCUGGUCCGCGCCGCCGGUGGGAAAGCACCGCAAGGCGAGGGAGAGGCAAGGGAUGGACAACCUUCUGCUCAGUUUUCCUUUACCGAUUUGUUUACCUUUAGUGUGAGAUUUUCUUUUUGACGUACCUUUAGUGUGAGAGUUGUUCAGGUAGGAAAUUGCCCCUGUUGGUCCAAUUGAAUAGACGUCCGCGCCUCACCAACCAAAUCGGAUGGUGCUAUCAUAUUCUCGGUUGGUUUGCUGGUAGAGACUUACUCCCUCCGUUCC